UGGCCCCAGCUUUCCUUCUUGGGGUCUUGCACCCCCACAGGCCUCAGGUGGCCACAGCCGUGCCUGGCCCCAACUGCCUCCUGUGUCACGCAACCCACCCAAAGGCAAGGGCUAAGGUUAAGGCACCCCUACCCACUUUUCACAUAUUGCAAUUAGUUAAAACAACUAUCUAACGAUCAUUUAAAUAUUCUAAAAUGCCUUAUAUGAAACCUAGGAAUGGCAAAUGAGUGAACAUUUAAGAAUGUAAUGUUUGGCUCUUCAUUCAUAUUCAACCCAAAUUUCAGGAUUACCUGUUAAAAAGUUCAGAACAGCUUUCAUAGCAGGGCAUUGUGUAAGAGCAGUACUUUCAGAUAUGCCUUUCAAUUACACCCAAGUAAGCUAUUCAAAGCGAACAGUUUAAUCAAUGAAUUUCAGCCUUUAUUCUACCUGUAAAGUGUUACAAAUGCAUUAUCCAACAGACAAGUGAUACAAAUGUAUUUUGGCGUCCACCAUGUUAUGCUUUACUCACAAACUGUGUUUGCUAUAGUAAUUUAUUAUUCAUUUUUAUUGCAUUAUGAUUGGUCACAUUUUUUGCAGUUUCUGUUCCCUGACUGGACCUGUUACAAAGGGUGAUGUCACACAUUAAGACACACAUUCAAGCACUUCAGCACAUGUUAAAUGCCCUCAUGAAAUUGCAAAAUUAUUCCCUUUUUAGGUAAGGUUGUCUCCUAACACAUACUAACUUUAAUACGUUACAUUCCAAUGAUUUGCAACUUUUGCAAGUGAAUGUGUGACAAGGCCCUUUUAAGACGAAGUUCAAACUCUUGGCCCUUUGAUUGCCUAAUAAUUAAGACGGUUAAGAGGUUAGGAGAAGCUAGGUCAUAAGACUAAGGAGUCUGUGGUCAUUUAAAAUGUUUCCCUUACCAGUACCCUUGAAUCAUACCUGGCUUGCAAAAUUACUGUUAGAAAAAAAAUAGAUUACGUUAACAUCGGUAUAGAUCAAAUUAGAAAUUAACAAUCUCUUCUUUCAAUCAGCUGCAAAGAGUGUUACCUGAUAAUUUUCUGGUUUAUUUAAUUGCCAUCAAGUCAGAUCUCUGAGCAGUGGCCUUUAACAACCAUAGAUGCAACAGAUUAGGUCACACACAAGUCAUUUCACUCUGCUUAUUCAAGGCUCUGGCAUGGGGUUCAAGGCUUUCAUUUAGAUGGCUGAUACUUUAGGUAAAUAGAUUCAUUUCAUAAUGAAACAACUGUCAAAUAUUUGCUUGUGAACAAAGCAUCACUAGUAAAAAUUUAUGAAAAAUUCAAAAAGUUUACACAUUGAAACUCAGUUUACAAUAUGCUGUAGUGUGUGUAAAAAAUCAGCUAUGAAGCCUCCUCUGUUUAAAUGAAGAAAUCUGGCAAAGUCUUACCAGUACAGGAGCCUGGAUGCAAUUUGCACAAAUACUUGACAAAGGUGACUCAGAAUGACAUACAAAUGUCACUUUUUAUCUAGUCCAAAAGAAAUACCUGGAACUCAGGAAAUACAUUAAGGUUCCAUAGUUCAACAAAAGUAGUCUGAGGAUAGAUCUUUUGGUUUUGAAACUGAGGGUUUUUCCUGAGAAGCAUGAAAGUGUACCAUGCAUAUGCAAAUAUGAUCUGGGUCAACUGAUAGCUUCAGAAGUAUUGCACCAAACACAAGUUUUAUUUAGUACUUACAUACGGGUAGAAAGUUUUGGGAAGACUUGACUACCAAAGAAUUACAUCUUGAAUGGUAUAUUCAUAUUUGUGCUGUAUUAAGUAUUACAAAAACAUGUUCAUGAGAAAUCAUUUGAAUAAAAUCUAGACAUUUCCUUUUAAAUUCUCAA